rnacentral:rRNA from 1 species
GAUGAACGCUGGCGGCGUGCCUAAUACAUGCAAGUCGAGCGAACGGACGAGAAGCUUGCUUCUCUGAUGUUAGCGGCGGACGGGUGAGUAACACGUGGAUAACCUACCUAUAAGACUGGGAUAACUUCGGGAAACCGGAGCUAAUACCGGAUAAUAUUUUGAACCGCAUGGUUCAAAAGUGAAAGACGGUCUUGCUGUCACUUAUAGAUGGAUCCGCGCUGCAUUAGCUAGUUGGUAAGGUAACGGCUUACCAAGGCAACGAUGCAUAGCCGACCUGAGAGGGUGAUCGGCCACACUGGAACUGAGACACGGUCCAGACUCCUACGGGAGGCAGAAGUAGGGAAUCUUCCGCAAUGGGCGAAAGCCUGACGGAGCAACGCCGCGUGAGUGAUGAAGGUCUUCGGAUCGUAAAACUCUGUUAUUAGGGAAGAACAUAUGUGUAAGUAACUGUGCACAUCUUGACGGUACCUAAUCAGAAAGCCACGGCUAACUACG